rnacentral:rRNA from 1 species
UACGUAGAGUGCAAGCGUUAAUCGGAAUUACUGGGCGUAAAGCGUGCGCAGGCGGUUUUGUAAGUCUGUCGUGAAAGCCCCGGGCUCAACCUGGGAAUUGCGAUGGAGACUGCAAGGCUUGAAUCUGGCAGAGGGGGGUAGAAUUCCACGUGUAGCAGUGAAAUGCGUAGAGAUGUGGAGGAACACCGAUGGCGAAGGCAGCCCCCUGGGUCAAGAUUGACGCUCAUGCACGAAAGCGUGGGGAGCAAACAGG